rnacentral:rRNA from 1 species
GACGAACGCUGGCGGCGUGCUUAACACAUGCAAGUCGAACGGAAAGGCCCAGCUUGCUGGGUGCUCGAGUGGCGAACGGGUGAGUAACACGUGGGUGAUCUGCCUCUACUUCGGGAUAAGCUUGGGAAACUGGGUCUAAUACCGGAUAGGACAAUCGUUUAGUGUCGGUUGUGGAAAGUUUUUUCGGUUAGGGAUGAGCCCGCGGCCUAUCAGCUUGUUGGUGGGGUAAUGGCCUACCAAGGCGUCGACGGGUAGCCGGCCUGAGAGGGUGGACGGCCACAUUGGGACUGAGAUACGGCCCAGACUCCUACGGGAGGCAGCAGUGGGGAAUAUUGCACAAUGGGCGCAAGCCUGAUGCAGCGACGCCGCGUGGGGGAUGACGGCCUUCGGGUUGUAAACCUCUUUCGACAGGGACGAAGCUUUGGUGACGGUACCUGUAUAAGAAGCACCGGCUAACUACGUG